CUAGCGUUGUUCGGAAUCAUUGGGCUUAAAGCGGGUGUAGGCGGCUUGUCAAGUGUCUUGUGAAAGCCCACGGCUCAACCGUGGAAUUGCAGGGCAAACUGGCAGGCUUGAGGUCGGUAGGGGUGUCUGGAACUCUAGGUGGAUCGGUGAAAUGCGUAGAUCUCUAGAGGAACGCCAGAGGCGAAAGCGGGGCACUGGGCCGAUUCUGACGCUGAGACCCGAAAGCGUGGGGAGCCAACUGGAUUCGAUACCCUGGUAGUCCAAGCCGUAUAUGAUGCACACUAGACGUCGGAGGUUCUGACGCCAUCGGCAUUGGAGCACAAAGUACCAAGUGUGCCGCCUGGGGAGUACGCCCGCAAGGCCUAAAACUCAAAGGAAUCGACGGGGGCUCACACAAGCGGUGGAGCACGUGGCUUAAUUCGAAGCAACGCGAAGAACCUGACCCAGGUUCGACAUGCUAGGAUGCAAACGGGUAAUGCCGGGCGCUGCCCUUCGGGGUGAAACUAGCACAGCUGUUGCAUGGCUGUCGUCAGCUCGUGCUAUGAAGUCUCGGGUUAAGUCCCAGAACGAGCGAAACCCUUGUCGGUAGUUGCCAGCGGGUCAUGCCGGGGACUCUAGCGAGACUGCCGGCGUUAAGCACGGAGGAAGGUGGGGAUGACGUCAAGUCAUCAUGG
rnacentral:rRNA from 1 species